rnacentral:rRNA from 1 species
CGUUGUUCGGAAUUACUGGGCGUAAAGGGCUCGUAGGCGGCCAACUAAGUCGGAUGUGAAAUCCCCAAGCUUAACUUGGGAACUGCAUCCGAUACUGGAUGGCUUGAAUCCGGGAGAGGGAUGCAGAAUUCCAGGUGUAGCGGUGAAAUGCGUAGAUAUCUGGAGGAAUACCGGUGGCGAAGGCGGCAUCCUGGACCGGCAUUGACGCUGAGGAGCGAAAGCUAGGGGAGCAAACGGG